rnacentral:rRNA from 1 species
CUCUAGAGUUUGAUCCCUGGCUCAGGACGAACGGAUGGCGGCGUGCUUAACACAUGCAAGUCGAACGAUGAACCCUCCUUCGGGAGGGGAUUAGUGGCGAACGGGUGAGUAACACGUGGGCAAUCUGCCCUGCACUCUGGGACAAGCCCUGGAAACGGGGUCUAAUACCGGAUACGACACGGGAUCGCAUGAUCUCCGUGUGGAAAGCUCCGGCGGUGCAGGAUGAGCCCGCGGCCUCUCAGCUUGUUGGUGGGGUAAUGGCCUACCAAGGCGACGACGGGUAGCCGGCCUGAGAGGGCGACCGGCCACACUGGGACUGAGACACGGCCCAGACUCCUACGGGAGGCAGCAGUGGGGAAUAUUGCACAAUGGGCGAAAGCCUGAUGCAGCGACGCCGCGUGAUUGAUGGCGGCCUUCGGGUUGUAACCUCUUCAGCAGCGAAGAAGCGCAAGUGACGUACCCUUCAGCAAAAGCCCCA